rnacentral:rRNA from 1 species
AUGGAGCCGACCUUGAAAUACCACCCUUUAAUGUUUGAUGUUCUAACGUGGACCCGUAAUCCGGGUUGCGGACAGUGUCUGGUGGGUAGUUUGACUGGGGCGGUCUCCUCCUAAAGAGUAACGGAGGAGCACGAAGGUUGGCUAAUCCUGGUCGGACAUCAGGAGGUUAGUGCAAUGGCAUAAGCCAGCUUGACUGCGAGCGUGACGGCGCGAGCAGGUGCGAAAGCAGGUCAUAGUGAUCCGGUGGUUCUGAAUGGAAGGGCCAUCGCUCAACGGAUAAAAGGUACUCCGGGGAUAACAGGCUGAUACCGCCCAAGAGUUCAUAUCGACGGCGGUGUUUGGCACCUCGAUGUCGGCUCAUCACAUCCUGGGGCUGAAGUAGGUCCCAAGGGUAUGGCUGUUCGCCAUUUAAAGUGGUACGCGAGCUGGGUUUAGAACGUCGUGAGACAGUUCGGUCCCUAUCUGCCGUGGGCGCUGGAGAACUGAGGGGGGCUGCUCCUAGUACGAGAGGACCGGAGUGGACGCAUCACUGGUGUUCGGGUUGUCAUGCCAAUGGCACUGCCCGGUAGCUAAAUGCGGAAGAGAUAAGUGCUGAAAGCAUCUAAGCACGAAACUUGCC